AUUUCUUUAGUAUACCAUAGUAUUUUUGAUUUCCAUUCAAAAGGCCCAAGUCAUGAGGAAGAAAUA
rnacentral:tRNA from 1 species